UGUUCUGCCCAGUGUAAUUAUAAAUGGCCGCAGUACCCUGACUGUGCUAAGGUAGCAUAAUCAAUUGGCUUUUAAUUGGAGUYUGGAAUGAAAGAAUCCAUGGGGAAAUGCUGUCUUAAAUGUACUAAUAUAAAUUUAUUUAUUAGGUGAAAAUACCUAUAAAAAGAAAAAAGACGAGAAGACCCUAAGAAUUUUUAAGAAGUUUUUUGUUGGGGCGACAAAUUAGAAAUUAAACCUAAUUUAUUAAACAGGCGAAUUUUUUAAGAAAUAAAAAAUUACCUUAAGGGAUAACAGCAUAAUUUUAAAAAGUUUGUGACCUCGAUGUUGGACUAGGAACUUUAUGGCUAGCAGUCAGAAGAGAUUUAUUCUGUUCGAAUAAUUUUAUCCU
rnacentral:rRNA from 1 species